rnacentral:tRNA from 1 species
GCCGCAGUAGCUCAGUUGGUAGAGCACAUCAUUCGUAAUGAUGGGGUCGGGGGUUCGAAUCCCUCCUGCGGCACCA